CGAGUUUUAACAGCCCACUGCACAGCCAGAAGCGAUCACAACCGGCGCACAAGUUGAGUUAUCAAUUCUAGCGCGCGCUUCGCUUCUCGAGUUUUGCCGGCAUAUCUGCACCGCGGAGGAAAAAAAAGACGCCAACGAAUCAA